rnacentral:rRNA from 1 species
AGAAAAGAAACUAACAAGGAUUCCCCUAGUAACUGCGAGUGAAGCGGGAAUAGCUCAAAUUUUGAAUCUGGCAGUCUUUGGCUGUCCGAGUUGUAAUCUAGAGAAGUGUUUUCCGCGCUGGACCAUGUACAAGUCUCCUGGAAGGGAGCGUCAUAGAGGGUGAGAAUCCCGUCUUUGACAUGGACUACCAGUGCUAUGUGAUGCGCUCUCGACGAGUCGAGUUGUUUGGGAAUGCAGCUCAAAAUGGGUGGUAAAUUCCAUCUAAAGCUAAAUACAGGCGAGAGACCGAUAGCGAACAAGUACCGUGAGGGAAAGAUGAAAAGAACUUUGGAAAGAGAGUUAAACAGUACGUGAAAUUGCUGAAAGGGAAACACUUGAUGUCAGUCGCAUCAGUCAGGGAUCAACCUUGCUUUUUCGCUGGGUGCAUUUCCUGGUCGAUGGGUCAGCAUCAGYUUCGGUCACUGUACAAUGSUGAAGGGAAUGUGGCACUCUUUGGAGUGUGUUAUAGCCUUUUAUUGUAUGCAGUGAUUGGGACUGAGGAACUCGCCACGACUUCGGUCUGUGUCUAGGAUGCUGGCAUAAUGGCCUUAAGUGACCCGUCUUGAAACACGGACCAAGGAGUCUAACAUGCCUGCGAGUGUUUGGGUGGCAACCCAGGCGCGUA